UACGUAGGGGGCAAGCGUUGUCCGGAUUUAUUGGGCGUAAAGCGCGUGUAGGCGGCCAGAUAGGUCUGCUGUGAAAACUCGAGGCUCAACCUCGAGACGUCGGUUGAAACCGUAAGGCUAGAGUCCGGAAGAGGAGAGUGGAAUUCCCGGUGUAGCGGUGAAAUGCGCAGAUAUCGGGAAGAACACCCGUGGCGAAGGCGGCUCUCUGGGACGGUACUGACGCUGAGACGCGAAAGCGUGGGGAGCGAACAGG
rnacentral:rRNA from 1 species